UAAUACGGGAGUGGCAAGCGUUAUCCGGAAUUAUUGGGCGUAAAGCGUCCGCAGGCGGCCCUUCAAGUCUGCUGUUAAAACGUGGAGCUUAACUCCAUCAUGGCAGUGGAAACUGUUGGGCUUGAGUGUGGUAGGGGCAGAGGGAAUUCCCGGUGUAGCGGUGAAAUGCGUAGAUAUCGGGAAGAACACCAGUGGCGAAGGCGCUCUGCUGGGCCAUCACUGACGCUCAUGGACGAAAGCCAGGGGAGCGAAAGGGAUUAGAUACCCCUGUAGUCCUGGCCGUAAACGAUGAACACUAGGUGUCGGGGGAAUCGACCCCCUCGGUGUCGUAGCCAACGCGUUAAGUGUUCCGCCUGGGGAGUACGCACGCAAGUGUGAAACUCAAAGGAAUUGACGGGGGCCCGCACAAGCGGUGGAGUAUGUGGUUUAAUUCGAUGCAACGCGAAGAACCUUACCAGGGUUUGACAUCCUGCGAAUCUCUUGGAAACGAGAGAGUGCCUUCGGGAGCGCAGUGACAGGUGGUGCAUGGCUGUCGUCAGCUCGUGUCGUGAGAUGUUGGGUUAAGUCCCGCAACGAGCGCAACCCACGUCUUUAGUUGCCAGCAUUUAGUUGGGCACUCUAGAGAGACCGCCGGUGAUAAACCGGAGGAAGGUGUGGAUGACGUCAAGUCAUCAUGCCCCUUACAUCCUGGGCUACACACGUACUACAAUGCUACGGACAAAGAGCAGCAAGUUCGCGAGGACAAGCAAAUCUCAUAAACCGUGGCUCAGUUCAGAUCGUAGGCUGCAACUCGCCUACGUGAAGGAGGAAUCGCUAGUAAUCGCAGGUCAGCAUACUGCGGUGAAUACGUUCCCGGGCCUUGUACACACCGCCCGUCACACCAUGGAAGUUGGCCACGCCCGAAGCCGUUACUCCAACCCUUGUGGAGGAGGGCGUCGAAGGUGGGGCUGAUGACUGGGGUGAAGUCGUAACAAGGUAGCCG
rnacentral:rRNA from 1 species